GGUUAAGCGACUAAGCGUACACGGUGGAUGCCCUGGCAGUCAGAGGCGAUGAAGGACGUGCUAAUCUGCGAUAAGCGUCGGUAAGGUGAUAUGAACCGUUAUAACCGGCGAUUUCCGAAUGGGGAAACCCAGUGUGAUUCGUCACACUAUCAUUACGUGAAUACAUAGCGUAAUGAAGCGAACCGGGGAACUGAAACAUCUAAGUACCCCGAGGAAAAGAAAUCAACCGAGAUUCCCCCAGUAGCGGCGAGCGAACGGGGAGCAGCCCAGAGUCUGAAUCAGCUUGUGUGUUAGUGGAACGGUCUGGAAAGUCCGACGGUACAGGGUGAUAGUCCCGUACACCAAAAUGCACAGGUUGUGAACUCGAAGAGUAGGGCGGGACACGUGGUAUCCUGUCUGAAUAUGGGGGGACCAUCCUCCAAGGCUAAAUACUCCUGACUGACCGAUAGUGAACCAGUACCGUGAGGGAAAGGCGAAAAGAACCCCGGCGAGGGGAGUGAAAAAGAACCUGAAACCGUGUACGUACAAGCAGUGGGAGCCUACUUGUUAGGUGACUGCGUACCUUUUGUAUAAUGGGUCAGCGACUUAUAUUCUGUAGCAAGGUUAACCGUAUAGGGGAGCCGAAGGGAAACCGAGUCUUAACUGGGCGUUAAGUUGCAGGGUAUAGACCCGAAACCCGGUGAUCUAGCCAUGGGCAGGUUGAAGGUUGGGUAACACUAACUGGAGGACCGAACCGACUAAUGUUGAAAAAUUAGCGGAUGACUUGUGGCUGGGGGUGAAAGGCCAAUCAAACCGGGAGAUAGCUGGUUCUCCCCGAAAGCUAUUUAGGUAGCGCCUCGUGAACUCAUCUUCGGGGGUAGAGCACUGUUUCGGCUAGGGGUCAUCCCGACUUACCAACCCGAUGCAAACUGCGAAUACCGAAGAAUGUUAUCACGGGAGACACACGGCGGGUGCUAACGUCCGUCGUGAAGAGGGAAACAACCCAGACCGCCAGCUAAGGUCCCAAAGUCAUGGUUAAGUGGGAAACGAUGUGGGAAGGCACAGACAGCCAGGAUGUUGGCUUAGAAGCAGCCAUCAUUUAAAGAAAGCGUAAUAGCUCACUGGUCGAGUCGGCCUGCGCGGAAGAUGUAACGGGGCUAAACCAUGCACCGAAGCUGCGGCAGCGACACUAUGUGUUGUUGGGUAGGGGAGCGUUCUGUAAGCCGUUGAAGGUGUAUCGUGAGGUAUGCUGGAGGUAUCAGAAGUGCGAAUGCUGACAUAAGUAACGAUAAUGCGGGUGAAAAACCCGCACGCCGGAAGACCAAGGGUUCCUGUCCAACGUUAAUCGGGGCAGGGUGAGUCGACCCCUAAGGCGAGGCCGAAAGGCGUAGUCGAUGGGAAACAGGUUAAUAUUCCUGUACUUGGUGUUACUGCGAAGGGGGACGGAGAAGGCUAUGUUAGCCGGGCGACGGUUGUUCCGGUUUAAGCAUGUAGGCGGAGGUUCCAGGUAAAUCCGGUACCUUUUAACGCUGAGGUGUGAUGACGAGGCACUACGGUGCUGAAGUAACAAAUGCCCUGCUUCCAGGAAAAGCCUCUAAGCAUCAGGUAACACGAAAUCGUACCCCAAACCGACACAGGUGGUCAGGUAGAGAAUACCAAGGCGCUUGAGAGAACUCGGGUGAAGGAACUAGGCAAAAUGGUGCCGUAACUUCGGGAGAAGGCACGCUGAUAUGUAGGUGAAGUGAUUUACUCAUGGAGCUGAAAUCAGUCGAAGAUACCAGCUGGCUGCAACUGUUUAUUAAAAACACAGCACUGUGCAAACACGAAAGUGGACGUAUACGGUGUGACGCCUGCCCGGUGCCGGAAGGUUAAUUGAUGGGGUUAUCCGUAAGGAGAAGCUCUUGAUCGAAGCCCCGGUAAACGGCGGCCGUAACUAUAACGGUCCUAAGGUAGCGAAAUUCCUUGUCGGGUAAGUUCCGACCUGCACGAAUGGCGUAAUGAUGGCCAGGCUGUCUCCACCCGAGACUCAGUGAAAUUGAACUCGCUGUGAAGAUGCAGUGUACCCGCGGCAAGACGGAAAGACCCCGUGAACCUUUACUAUAGCUUGACACUGAACACUGGUCCUUGAUGUGUAGGAUAGGUGGGAGGCUUUGAAGUGUGGACGCCAGUCUGCAUGGAGCCAUCCUUGAAAUACCACCCUUUAAUGGCUGGUGUUCUAACGUGGACCCGUAAUCCGGGUUGCGGACAGUGUCUGGUGGGUAGUUUGACUGGGGCGGUCUCCUCCUAAAGAGUAACGGAGGAGCACGAAGGUUAGCUAAUCCUGGUCGGACAUCAGGAGGUUAGUGCAAAGGCAUAAGCUAGCUUGACUGCGAGAGUGACGGCUCGAGCAGGUGCGAAAGCAGGUCUUAGUGAUCCGGUGGUUCUGAAUGGAAGGGCCAUCGCUCAACGGAUAAAAGGUACUCCGGGGAUAACAGGCUGAUACCGCCCAAGAGUUCAUAUCGACGGCGGUGUUUGGCACCUCGAUGUCGGCUCAUCACAUCCUGGGGCUGAAGUAGGUCCCAAGGGUAUGGCUGUUCGCCAUUUAAAGUGGUACGCGAGCUGGGUUUAGAACGUCGUGAGACAGUUCGGUCCCUAUCUGCCGUGGGCGCUGGAGAAUUGAGGGGGCUGCUCCUAGUACGAGAGGACCGGAGUGGACGCAUCACUGGUGUUCGGGUUGUCAUGCCAAUGGCAUUGCCCGGUAGCUAAAUGCGGAAGAGAUAAGUGCUGAAAGCAUCUAAGCACGAAACUUGCCCCGAGAUGAGUUCUCCCUGAGACUUUAAGUCUCCUGAAGGAACGUUGAAGACGAUGACGUUGAUAGGUCGGGUGUGUAAGUGUAGCGAUACAUUGAGCUAACCGAUACUAAUGAACCGUGAGGCUUAACCUU
rnacentral:rRNA from 1 species